rnacentral:rRNA from 1 species
GUCCACGCCGUAAACGAUGGGUGCUAGACGUUGGCGAGCUUGCUCGUCAGUGUCGCAGCUAACGCGUUAAGCACCCCGCCUGGGGAGUACGGCCGCAAGGUUGAAACUCAAAGGAAUUGACGGGGGCCCGCACAAGCGGUGGAGCAUGUGGUUCAAUUCGACGCAACGCGCAGAACCUUACCAGCCCUUGACAUGUGACUCGCCGGGACCAGAGACGGUCCCUUCGGUUCGGCCGGAGUCAACACAGGUGCUGCAUGGCUGUCGU